rnacentral:lncRNA from 1 species
GAACGGAUUCAGCGGUCCUCCUGGACGAGACGGGACAGAGGGGAAACCUGGAUACAAAGGAGAAAAGGGUGAGCGAGGGGAGUGUGGGACACCAGGAAUCAAAGGAGACAGAGUGAGUGACACUUCAGAUCUACAGUGUAGUUCAUGCACAAUAACAUGCUGUAUUUUUAACUGUCUAAAUCUGAUUCUUUAAAGGGUCCGGAGGGUCCCACUGGUAUCAGAGGAAGCAGAG